CACGUAGGGGGCGAGCGUUGUCCGGAUUUAUUGGGCGUAAAGAGCGUGUAGGCGGUCCGGUAAGUCAGCUGUGAAAGUCAAGGGCUCAACCCUUGAAAGCCGGUUGAUACUGUCGGGCUAGAGUCCGGAAGAGGCGAGUGGAAUUCCCGGUGUAGCGGUGAAAUGCGCAGAUAUCGGGAGGAACACCAAUGGCGAAGGCAGCUCGCUGGGACGGUACUGACGCUGAGACGCGAAAGCGUGGGGAGCAAACAGG
rnacentral:rRNA from 1 species